rnacentral:lncRNA from 1 species
UGGAUCACUCCAUCCAUCACUCACAAUGGUAACUCCUUUUUUCGCCCAUGUGCCUUUAAUUGGAUUUAAUAAUCUUUCCACAUUUUUUUUUCUCUUUUUGAAGAAGAGUAGUUCUCAACUUGUUGUAACCGAGAGGCAAAAUCCCGAAAUUCGACUAUUGGAAGCAAGAGUAUAAGAACUAAUGUAAUAAGGAUUUCUUGCAAGAGUAAAAGGCAAACCACUUGAAUAAAACAUUCUAGCAAUUUCGGAAUCCAAUUGGUCACGUGUUGUCACAUUAAAAGCAUUUUCUAUUGCACUAUUCUUUCUUUUCCUUUCCUCCAAAACAUAACAAUCCU